GGGUGUAUCGGCACGUGUGCUGUUACGCUUGUCUCCACAUGCUUCCUUGUAUCCUUCGCACUUGCCCUAUCUGUUCCUCAAGUAGAUGCGGAAUCUUCCCUGGAAACAUAAGAUGUUGAAGAUGAGUACUCGAGAGCAAUGCCAGGUAAGUAAUCAAGUAAGGGGUUCCAGGCAGUCAGUUCCUGGCUGGAAGCUUGAUCCAAGUGCUGACUGAUUGCUCUCUUUCUCCUUGUCUUGCAGGUAAAAACAAGGCCAAAGGAAAAGACAGGGAAAAAGCAUGAUAUGGGAUACUCUUGCUUUUAACCCUGAUGAUAUGAGAUAUUCUUGCUCUAGUAUAGCUUGUUUGCAGAGGUAUUAUCGGGGGGAAAGAAAGCUGAAUAUUUCGAAAGGCUUCGUUGGGAGUGCCCUCUCAGAUAUGAUGAAGGGUUGAGCAUUUUUGCAGGUCUGCCUGUCCGUUGGGGAUGGAGGUCGACAUAUAUAGGAGUCUCCCUAACAACAAGUAGUAAUGCUAUUCCUUUACCCUGCUUGGUCAUAGCACGGUAGUGGGAGCUGCCAGUUUCACAUGUUUUAACUCUGUCAGAGCACUUUGAAAAAGUGGUUUGUGGUAUCUGGCUCUCGAGAUUCGGAGAACGAUGCCUCUUCGAUUUUUGAGAAAGCAAUCAUGCUGGGGGUCUGGCUCUCGAGAUUCGUAGAGCAGUGUCUCUUUGAUUUUUGAGGAAGUAAUCAUGUUGGGAGUCUGGCUCUCGAGAUUCGGAGGGCGGUGCCUCUUCGAUUUUGUAGCAAGCAAUCCUGUUGGGAGUGUUGUCUCGAAUGUGAGUAAAGGUUGGGCAUGUUUGCUAGUCUACCUUGCCACGAAGCACAAAGGUUGACACACAGAGACUUUCCAAUUAUCCAGCAAUGGUACUGUUCCUUUACCCUCUCUUCGCUUUUGAGAAAGUAGUCAUGUUGGGAGUCUGGCUCUCGAGAUUCGGAGGACGGUGCCUCUUCGAUUUUGGAGCAAGCAAUCUUGUUGGGAGUGUUUUCUCGAAAGUGAGUAAAGGUUGGGCAUGUUUGCUAGUCUACAUUGCCACGAAGCACAGAGGUUGACACACACAGGGACUUUCCAAUUAUCCAGCAGUGGUACUGUUCCUUUACCCUUGUGGGUAAUAAUAUGGUAGCUAGACCUUCAAAAUUUAUGUGUCUAAACUUUGUUAGUGCUGUUUCUUUGCUAUUCUUUUACCUUUCUUGGUCAGAGCGAUGUAGUGGGAGCUGCAAGCUUCACGUGCUCAACUUUGGCAGAGAACUUUGGCAAAGUUAUCUGUGGUACCCAUGAGCUAUUGUUGCGUGUGGGAAGUGGGUGAUUGAACAGUAAGAUUCAUGUGCUUUCUACUUCACCAAAAGUCUUCGACAGAAAUUCCCAUAAUUUCUGCAAAGCUGAGUGUGCGUGUGACAGGUGCUGACAAGGCUAGAAAAGUAGGUGCCUCUUCGAUUUCUGAGAUCGGCCCUCGUGGUCUCUGAGCAGCCCAGCUUUUGAGAAAGCGAGCGCCUCUUCGAUUGAUUCGGAGAACGAUGCCUCAUCGAUUUUUGAGAAAGCAAUCAUGCUGGGGGUCUGGCUCUCGAAGAUUCGGGGAGCAGUGUCUCUUCGAUUUUUGAGAAAGUAAUCACGUUGGGAGUCUGGCUCUCGAGAUUCGGAGGGCGGUGCCUCUUCGAUUUUGGAGCAAGCAAUCUUGUUGGGAGUGUUUUCUCGAAUGUGAGUAAAGGUUGGGCAUGUUUGCUAGUCUACCUUGCCACGAAGCACAGAGGUUGACACACAGGGACUUUCCAAUUAUCCAGCAAUGGUACUGUUCCUUUACCCUCUCUUUGAUUUUUAAAGAAAGUAGUCAUGUUGGGAGUCUGGCUCUCGAGAUUCGGAGGACGGUGCCUCUUCGAUUUUGGAGCAAGCAAUCUUGUUGGGAGUGUGUUUUCUCGAAUGUGAGUAAAGGUUGGGCAUGUUUGCUAGUCUACCUUGCCACGAAGCACAGAGGUUGACACACAGGGACUUUCCAAUUAUCCAGCAGUGGUACUGUUCCUUUACCCUUGUGGGUAAUAAUAUGGUAGCUAGACCUUCAAAAUUUAUGGGUCUAAACUUUGUUAAUGCUGUUUCUUUGCUAUUCUUUUACCCUUCUUGGUCAGAGCGAUGUAGUGGGAGCUGCAAGCUUCACGUGCUCAACUUUGGCAGAGAACUUUGGCAAAGUUAUCUGUGGUACCCAUGAGCUAUUGUUGCGUGUGGGAAGUGGGUGAUUGAACAGUAAGAUUCAUGUGUUUUCUACUUCCCCAGAAGUCUUCGACAGAAUGCCCAUAAUUUCUGCAAAGCUGAGUGUGCGUGUGACGGGUGCUGACAAGGCUGGAAAAGUAGGUGCCUCUUCGAUUUCUGAGAUCGGCCCUCGUGGUCUCUGGGGAGCCCAGCUUUUGAGAAAGCGAGCGCCUCUUCGAUUUCUGAGAUCGGCCUUCGUGGUCUUUGAGCAGCCCAACUUUUGAGAAAGCAAACGCCUCUUCGAUUUCUGAGAUCAACCCUCGUGAUCUCUAAGCAGCCCAGCUUUUGAGAAAGCAAACGCCUCUUCGAUUUCUGAGCAGGCGCCUCUUCGAUUUCCGAAGCUCCGUCGAGUGCAGAUUUUUAUAGAGGCUGACAUUAAGUUCCAAAGCACACUUGAAAUCCACCAGUAGAAGCUUCAUUCUUGCACUUCUAAGAUCUUGAUUUGUCCGACCUCUUCUCUCUUCAACACCUUUGAAAAUGUCUGGCCCCUCCGACCGUCGUUUUGACUUGAACCUUGUUGAAGAGGCAGCCCCGCCUUCUCCAGACAACAUAUGGCGCCCAUCCUUCGUCUCUCCUACUGGUCCUCUUACCGUUGGGGAUUCCGUGAUGAAGAAUGAUAUGACCGCUGCGGUGGUGGCCAGGAACCUUCUCACUCCCAAAGAUAACAGACUACUUUCCAAACGGUCUGAUGAGUUAGCUGUUAAGGAUUCGCUGGCUCUCAGUGUGCAGUGUGCAGGUUCUGUGUCUAAUAUGGCCCAACGCCUAUUUGCUCGAACCCGCCAAGUUGAAUCCUUGGCGGCUGAAGUGAUGAGUCUCAAACAGGAGAUUAGAGGGCUCAAGCAUGAGAAUAAACAGUUGCACCGGCUCGCACAUGACUAUGCUACAAACAUGAAGAGGAAGCUUGACCAGAUGAAGGAAACUGAUGGUCAGGUUUUACUUGAUCAUCAGAGAUUUGUGGGUUUGUUCCAAAGGCAUUUAUUGCCUUCGUCUUCUGGGGCUGUACCGCGUAAUGAAGCUCCGAAUGAUCAACCUCUGAUGCCUCCUCCUUCUAGGGUUCUGUCCAGUACUGAGGCUCCAAAUGAUCCCCCUCCGGUGCCUUCUCUUUCUGGGGCUCUACCGACUGCUGAGACUUCUCCUAAGCAACCUUUGUGAAGGCUCCGUCUUGUGUGUUUAUUUUGACUCAUGUAUAUGUACAUAUUUGUAGCUGAUCGGGGAUAUCAAUAAAUAAGCUUUCCUUCAUUUCAACGUAUUGUGUUAAAUACACCAAAGCCUUCUUCGCUAAGUUCUUUGAAUUUUCUUUUGUUGAAGCUUGUAUGUUGAAGCUUUCUGAGUGGAGCAUGUAGGUUGGGGUAGUGUUCCCUUAAUUUCCCGAGUGAGGAAAACUUCUCGAUUGGAGACUUGGAAAAUCCAAGUCACUGAGUGGGAUCGGCUAUAUGAAUCUUAGAACGCCAUUGUGCUCGAUCCUGUGUCAUGUCCUUCCGUUAGAUCCAAGUACUCUAAGUCUUUUCUUAGAGUCUCUUCCAAAGUUUUCCUAGGUCUUCCUCUACCCCUUCGGCCCUGAACCUCUGUCCCAUAGUCGCAUCUUCUAAUCGGAGCGUCAGUAGGCCUUCUUUGCACAUGUCCAAACCACCGUAACCGAUUUUCUCUCAUCUUUCCUUCAAUUUCGGCUACUCCUACUUUACCCCGGAUAUCCUCAUUCCUAAUCUUAUCCUUUCUCGUGUGCCCACACAUCCAACGAAGCAUCCUCAUCUCCGCUACACCCAUUUUGUGUACGUGUUGAUGUUUCACCGCCCAACAUUCUGUGCCAUACAGCAUCGCCGGCCUUAUUGCCGUCCUAUAAAAUUUUCCCUUGAGCUUCAAUGGCAUACGGCGGUCACACAACACACCGGAUGCACUCUUCCACUUCAUCCAUCCAGCUUGUAUCCAGCCUUAGUAUAACAUUGGGUUAAAAAAAAUUAACAUAUGAAAAUUUGAAAACCCUGAUAAUUCAAGAUAAUGAAGUGUGAAUUACCCUUAAUAUUAAUAUAAAUCACCAACACAAAUGCUUGGUGUAGAACAGGGCCACAUCUACUACCUUUAGUUGGGAAGAGAGAGAGUUAUUCUCCCCCAAGUAAAGGAGUGGUUGAAAAUAUCUUGAACCAUGUACUUUCUCUAUAUAUGAGACAGUGUAGAAAUGUAAAAGAUGAACCCUAACCUACUUCCUUACUAUAAAUCGUUUGUAAAAAGAUGAACCCUAAAACCUGUGCUAUCGCAUCACUCAUUCAAGUCUAUUGCCUUUAGCUCCCAACCUCAAAAUUGAAACGAGAGAGAGAGGCUUUACUGCAGCGAGUCGGGUGAUGACCGACUGGUGACUGGUUAUUGACUCACAAGCCUCUCUCUCACAUUGGUGACUGGCUAAUGCAGCAGCGUAUCAAUAUUCAUGUCUCUCUCAUCCCUCAUUACCGUACCAUCUGGCUGACAGCUGUGAGCAUAUUCUGGUUGGGGCCAUGAACUGCUCCCUACAACCCUAGGUGUACAUUAUAAAAGAGGUGAUAUCCGUUUUUGCUCAACAACAACAACAACAACAAAGCCUUUUCCCACUAAGUGGGGUCGGCUAUAUGAAUCCUAGAACGCCAUUGCGCUCGGUUUUGUGUCAUGUCAUCCGUUAGAUCCAAGUACUCUAAGUCUUUUCUUAGAGUCUCUUCCAAAGUUUUCUUAGGUCUUCCUCUACCCCUUCGGCCCUGAACCUCUGUCCCGUAGUCAUAUCUUCGAACCGGAGCGUCAGUCGGCCUUCUUUGCACAUGUCCAAAUCACCGGAGCCGAUUUUCUCUCAUCUUUCCUACAAUUUCGGCUACUCCUACUUUACCUCGGAUAUCCUCAUUCCCAAUCUUAUCCUUUCUCGUGUGCCCACACAUCCCACGAAGCAUCCUCAUCUCCGCUACACCCAUUUUGUGUACGUGUUGAUGCUUCACCGCCCAACAUUCUGUGCCAUACAACAUCGCUGGCCUUAUUGCCGUCCUACAAAAUUUUCCCUUGAGCUUCAGUGGCCUACGACGGUCACACAACACGCCGGAUGCGCUCUUACACUUCAUCCAUCCAGCUCGUAUUCUAUGGUUGAGAUUUCCAUCUAAUUCUCCGUUCUCUUGCAAGAUAGAUCCUAGGUAGCGAAAACGGUCGCUUUUUUGUGAUCUUCGCUAGAUUGCUCCGGUCAUUAGUGUGGAUAAGUAUAUAAAUGGAUAGAGAUAGGAAAGCAAACACAAGAUGUACGUGGUUCACCCAGAUUGGCUACGUCCACGGAAUAGAAGAGUUCUCAUUAAUUGUGAAGGGUUUACACAAGUACAUAGGUUCAAGCUCUCCUUUAGUGAGUACAAGUGAAUGAUUUAGUACAAAUGACAUUAGGAAAUAUUGUGGGAGAAUGAUCUCGUAAUCACGAAACUUCUAAGUAUCGGAGUGUGGUGUCGUCUUGACUUGCCUUAUCUGUCUCAUAGGUAGAUGUGGCAUCUUCUCUGGAAGUACUUUUCCUCCAUCCAGGGGUGGUAUCUUUAACUGGUGGAGAUGCACAAGGUAAUGUAUCAAUUUCACUUGAAGCUUACUUGUAGUUUCAGGCUUGGUCAAGCGCGAUACAAACCAUGUAGUAGGAGUCCCCCAAGUCGCCGAGCUAGGGGGUCUGCUGAAAGAGGUGACAGACAAGGUAAGCAAUCAGAGCUCCGACUGAUUGUUCACCUUCUCCCCAUCUUGCAAGCAGCAUGAAGGAUAAAGAGAAGAAAAAUGAGAAGAGAUGAUAUGAGAUACUUUUGCUUUUGAAGAAGUAACUUUCCACAGGCUUAUUCUUGAACUGAGCUGGAGGGUUUUCUGGUUUCCUCCAGAGUAUAAGGCCGACUGAAGAAUUUGAGGGUCAAAACAAGUCCAUCAAAUCUAGAGUACGUUCCACCCUGCUGAUAUGGGAUACUUUUGCUUUUGACAGAGUAAUGGAUGUAUCGGCACGUGUGCUGUUACGCUUGUCUCCACAUGCUUCCUUGUAUCCUUCGCACUUGCCCUAUCUGUUCCUCAAGCAGAUGCGGAAUCUUCCCUGGAAACAUAAGAUGUUGAAGAUGAGUACUCGAGAGCAAUGCCAGGUAAGUAAUCAGGUAAGGGGUUCCAGGCAGUCAGUUCCUGGCUGGAAGCUUGAUUCCAAGUGCUGACUGAUUGCUCUCUUUCUCCUUGUCUUGCAGGUAAAAACAAGGCCAAAGGAAAAGACAGGGAAAAAGCAUGAUAUGGGAUACUCUUGCUUUUAACCCUGAUGAUAUGAGAUAUUCUUGCUCUAGUAUAGCUUGUUUGCAGAGGUAUUAUCGGG
rnacentral:lncRNA from 1 species